GCCGCAAAGUUAGUUCAGCCCUUUUAGCAAAAUUUAUGUUUUAAAUAAUUAUUAAAUUAUUAAAAAACAGAAACCAAAUCAUUUGCCCUUCCCAGUAUGGGCGACAGAAAAGAACCCCCCCCCGAAGCAAUAGACAAAGUACCGCAAGGGAAAGCUGAAAGAGAAAUGAAACAACCCAUUUAAGCACAGGAAAGCAGAGACUAACCCUCGUACCUUUUGCAUCAUGAUUCAGCAAGUUAACUCAAGCAAAGAGAACUCUAGUUUGCACCCCCGAAACUUGACGAGCUACUCCGAGACAGCCAACUAUGGGCCAACCCAUCUCUGUGGCAAAAGAGUGGGAAGAUCUCUGGGUAGAGGCAAAAAACCUACCGAGCCAAGUUAUAGCUGGUUGCCCAAUAAAUGAAUAAAAGUUCAGCCCCGCCUAGCCCAACUCAGACCGUUUUACAAAAAAGACAAAGAGCUAAUCCCGGGAGUUAGUCAGAGGAGGUACAGCUCCCCUGACCCAGGAUACAACCUUUCUAGGAGGCAAAAGAAUAUUACCGACAAGGCCCUGGGCCUCAGUGGGCCUGAAAGCAGCCAUCUGACCCGAAAGCGUUAAAGCUCCGGCCCUAAGAAUAAGCCUAUUAUUUAAUUUUUAUCUCUGUCCCCCUACACCUUAUUGGGCCCCUCCAUGCGUUCAUGGAAGAGAUUAUGCUGGAACGAGUAACAAGAAGAAUGAACUUCUCCACGCACAAGUGUAAGUCAAAUUGGACUAACCACCGACAAUCAACGAACCCAAUAAAAGAGGGCCCUACACACCCGCCACCUCUGGCCAAGAAAACCAUGUUCCCCAGGAUCGUUACCCCAACACAGGAGUGCUAGAAUAGGGAAAGACUUAAAGAAAAAAAAGGAACUCGGCAAACCCAAACCCCGCCUGUUUACCAAAAACAUCGCCUCUUGCAUCACAAAGUAUAAGAGGUCCCACCUGCCCUGUGACUUAAAGUUUAACGGCCGCGGUAUCCUAACCGUGCGAAGGUAGCGCAAUCAAUUGCCUUUUAAAUGAAGGCCUGUAUGAAUGGUAUAACGAGGGUUUGACUGUCUCUUUUUUCUAGUCAGUUAAACUGAUCUGCCCGUGCAGAAGCGGGCAUUACUAUACAAGACGAGAAGACCCUAUGGAGCUUUAGACGCUAGCCAACUAUCGACAGGCGACUGGCCACUAAACAGACCUUAAAUACCCGUUAGUUGUGGUGAGGCAGUCUUAGGUUGGGGCGACCACGGGAGAAAAUGAAGCUCCCAGGCAGACCGGGGGAUACCCUUGAGCCAAGAGUAGCUACUCUAAGCCACAAAAUUUUUGACUGAAAUGAUCCGGUUGACAAACCGAUUGACGAACCAAGUUACCCUAGGGAUAACAGCGCAAUCCCCUCCCAGAGUCCCUAUCGACGAGGGGGUUUACGACCUCGAUGUUGGAUCAGGACAUCCUAAUGGUGCAGCCGCUAUUAAGGGUUCGUUUGUUCAACGAUUAAAGUCCUACGUGAUCUGAGUUCAGACCGGAGUAAUCCAGGUCGGUUUCUAUCUGUAAAGCCACCACCCCUAGUACGAAAGGACCGGGGCGGAGGGGCUCAUGCUAAGAGCAAGCCCCUUAUCUACCUGCUGAGACCAACUAAAGCAGCCAAAGGUGGGCAACCCAACAGCUCGAGAAAAGAGCUGUUUUAUUUGUUCGC
rnacentral:rRNA from 1 species